rnacentral:rRNA from 1 species
AGUGAAGCGGCAACAGCUCAGAUUUGAAAUCUGGCGCCUUUGGCGUCCGAGUUGUAAUCUGUAGAGGAUGCUUUUGGGUAGCCACCGGUCUAAGUCCCCUGGAACGGGGCGUCACAGAGGGUGAGAAUCCCGUAUGUGACCGGAAGGGCGCCCUCCACAUAGCUCCUUCGACGAGUCGAGUUGUUUGGGAAUGCAGCUCUAAAUGGGAGGUAAAUUCCUUCUAAAGCUAAAUACCGGCCAGAGACCGAUAGCGCACAAGUAGAGUGAUCGAAAGAUGAAAAGCACUUUGGAAAGAGAGUUAAAAAGCACGUGAAAUUGUUGAAAGGGAAGCGCUUGCAACCAGACUUGUUGGCGGUGUUCCGCCGGUCUUCUGACCGGUCUACUCACCGUCUGCAGGCCAGCAUCAUCUGGGGCCGCUGGAUAAAAGCGAGGGGAAUGUGGCUCCCCCGGGAGUGUUAUAGCCCCUCGUGCAAUACAGCGAGCCUCGGGUGAGGUCCGCGCUUCGGCUAGGAUGCUGGCGUAAUGGUCGUAAGCGGCCCGUCUUGAAACACGGACCAAGGAGUCUAACAUCUAUGCGAGUGUUCGGGUGUCAAACCCCUACGCGUAAUGAAAGUGAACGGAGGUGGGAGCCUUAGGGUGCACCAUCGACCGAUCCUGAUGUCUUCGGAUGGAUUUGAGUAAGAGCAUAGCUGUUGGGACCCGAAAGAUGGUGAACUAUGCCUGGAUAGGGUGAAGCCAGAGGAAACUCUGGUGGAGGCUCGCAGCGGUUCUGACGUGCAAAUCGAUCGUCAAA